AGGGAGAAUUGUUGCCUUUUAGCAGAAUUAAUGAAAAAUUGCAAAAUCAGAAUUUCCUCUGUGAAAUGAGAUCAUAUCUUCCCUCUCAGAAGCAUCUUCUUCCACUAUUUUUCCUCACAACUUUCAUUCCAGAAGAACCAGAACAGCAUCCACAAACUCACCAAAUUGCUGAAACACAGUCAUUAGAGUUAGUUGCAACUCCACCAUCCUUUCUAAAAGAUAGCACCACAGAAAAUGUUGCUUCUAUUGAAGAAGUUUCCCCGAGCCUCAUUCCAACAUCAACCUUAUCUGUUGUCUCAGCAGACCAAGGCAGCCACAAAGGUCCCUCAUCUUCAGUAAAACGAAGUCUUGAGGAAGAACUGACAAAGACAACAAAACAUCCAAAGCUUGAUUGAACUUCGUAAUCAAGCAAAGAGAUGACAAAAAAUCUACUUUUGUUAGAAAUGCAAAAACACUGGUUAGGCAUGCAUAAGUUUUUGUUCAAACAACAACGUGAUUUUGUUCUUUCGGUGACAGACUAGAGCCUACGUGAUUUUCACCUCUCUGUCUAUCUUUGCAAUCACCAACAACUUAAUAUUACUUACAAAUUAUCGUAAUAUCUUUACAAACAUAAAUUACUUCGACCAAAACCAACAAAUAACAACCAAUUCAGUUAAUAUGGGCACCCCGCGUCGAACGCGGGGUCUCACCACCUAGUAUAGUGUAAUCCUUGCAAAGUGCAGUCCGUUGCUAGCAAAAUCAAACUAAGUUUAGAAGUUGCCCAUUAAAUUAUGUAGAAGUUUUACUAGAGUCAAGUUUUUGGUAGUUUUCCUACUGGGUAAUUUAUUAUGUAAUUAUUUGUAUGGUAAUUUCUUAUUUUUCAAGUAUCGUUAUAAAAAGACAGCUUGUAAGGAUAUUUGCCUAAUAGUCUUCAGCGAGUAGGGUAUUGGGUUCUUCCUUUGUUUGACAUUUUAGUGAAGUUGUUAGUGUGACAUGUGUUCAUUAUUUCUUUUCUAUCACAUCUAUUUUAUUUGAUUAUUUGAUUCCUUCUAUUCUAUAACUCUGCAAGUUAAUAUUAUUAGACUCAUACAAUAAAAAUUGGAGUUCUAUAAUUGGUGUCAUGAGUGAGUGUCUUAUGAGGUUUGUGUUGAGUACCUUCCACUGCCAGAGUUAGAGUACAAAAUUUGCUUAGAAGCAUUCAGUUGAUCGAGUAAGGCAGCAAGAUUAGUUUUGAAUUGUCAAAUUGUGAAGAUUAGACCAUAAAAAUAGUCCAAAAUUUGUCAGAUUAAUAAUGGUAUCAAGAUAGAACUCUUGUCAAAAUUUUUAAUAUCGCAGGUUAUCAAAUUGAAGGAUUUGAUUGAUUUUAUCAACUAGGGGGCCAGAAAUUUGACAAAAGAAUAGAGGAACCAAUUGUUCAGAUAAGUAAAUUGUAGAAUGAUGGAUGAAUGUUGGGUUUUAGUUAAUGGUGAAUCACAAAAAAAAAAGGUCAAGAAACAUCUUAUUAUUGGUUUUUAUAAUUUGAAAAUUAUCUCAAACAAUUUAAUUUAGAUGAGUUCUUUCUGGGUUGUUGCAAAUACGUUGUUGAAAAGAAUUCUAAAAAAUUGACAAUAUUAUUUUUUAAGUUAUGCAAAACAAUACUUGACUGUCUAACAAGAUUACUUUUUUCCAAUUAUUUUCUUUGUUAGAUUUUUUUAAGUAAUAAUCGAAAUCGAACCCAUUUAAACUUUCUUCUUACCAUAUAUAUAUAUAUAUAUAUAGUCUCGUGUCGUGUAGUAAUGAAGAAGAAGGAAUCAAAUAAGUUGGUGGUUUCAACUAGAAGUGGCAAAAUGGAUAUAUGGUUGAUAAAUGGUUUUAGUUAAAUGGAUAGUGGAUCAAAUUGAUCCAAUCCAAUUAAAACCAUUUAAUAAAUGGAUCUAAAUGGAUGUCAUUUAAAUGGAUAGUGUAAACCAUGAUCCAUCCAUUUAUCCAUUUACUCUCCCAAAUCCUAAAUUUAAGAUCCAAAUGCUUUUUUUCAAAAAAUACAGAUCCCCAAAGUUCUAUUCUUAAAUCACCUAAAACCUUUUGGUAAUAACAAAUGCUUGUACUACUACUCUAUUUCAGUUCUUCAUAAAAUUAGUUUAGUUCCAAGAAAAUUUAACUGCUGUGGUCAAUUUAACCUUUCGUCAUUACUUUAAAUAUCAUUUUGUAAAGUAAUGAACAAUUAAGAACUUGGCUAUAUUUUUAUAACUUUUGAAUGAAUUGAAUACGGCUUUACAGUGAAAAGAAGUUUACGUUUCCAAUUUUUUGCACUCCUGUUCAAGAGUGAUGUCUUGAAUAAAAGUGGAGUUCUAAUAAAAAAUCUUAUGUUAUUUGACAAGUAAAAUAUUUUCAUUACAUGUGCACGUAGUACCUAAAAAUGUAUGAAACUCCUUAUUAUACCAUUGAUAUACAAGCUACCUUAUAUUACUUAGUAAAUUAGGUGUCUUUUUUUUUUUGGAUAGUUGGAUUGGGUGAUAAGGGGAGAGGGAUUGCAAGUAUGAGAAUUUGGAAAAAAAAAAAAAAGUGUCAUUUACAUAUCUUAACCAAUGUUGUGGGGACACUCGUUAGAAAAAUUCUUUUUAUAAAUAAAAGAAUUAAAAAAAUAAAAAUUAUUUUGACACUGCAUGAUGCAUUCUCGCUUUUUUUUACUUAAGAAUAUAAAUGUUUGCAAUCAUUACUACAUGAGAGUUUAAUUAAAAAAAAAACAAGAGUAGAUAUUAAAUUAUAAUUUUGAAAAGGAUGGAAGAAGUCUAGGAACUAGAAGCAAACAAAAUGCAAUUAAUGUUAUUGGCAACUUGGCAUGUGAGGAAGUUAUGAAGGAAAGAAUAGGUGGUCCCACAAAAUUAUUUUGACAUAUGAGGAAGUUAUGAAGAAAAGAAUAGAUAGUCCCACAAGAUUUUAUCUCAUAUUUUUAUAAAUGUGUUUUCUAUUUUUUUAAGUUAAAUGGAUGUAUAUGGAUAAGAUGGAUAAUCCAUCUAAAUCCACCAACAUAAUUGGAUUUAAAUGGUUAUCCAUUUAAAACCAUUGAAUUUAUAUGGAUAAUCCAAAUCCAUUUAAGGUUGGUUUAUAUGGAUGGAUUGGUGGAUAUGAAUCCAUUUUGCCACUUCUAGUUUCAACUUUCAACCGUAUUGCUGGUUUCAGCGUCGUGCAAAGAAGUGGGUCCAUUGAGGGUUAAAUUCGCACAUGCCGGCUGAUACUUAUUUUUACUCUUUAAAAUAUCCAUACAAUUUUCCCGACAAAUGAUAUUUCCAGAACACCAUUUUUUGCAGUAUAUUUCUUUCCACAUGAUGGUAAUUAUGUCUUUUACUAGUCAAAGGGUGGACUCAUUUUAAAAAGGGUAGAAAGAGUGAUAUGGCAUUAUUACUGGCUGUUUUCCCUAAUACCAUAAUGUUAAAUAUUAAUAUUAAUACGCAUUUACAAUUUGACACAAGAAAUUUAUAUCUUUUUGGUUGCUUUGUGCUUCUUUUGCCACAAAACCAUGCAUGUUUGGCACUAGACUACUGAGGAAUAAUUUCAGAAACCUCCUUAAAGUAUUUUAACAAUUUCAAGAAACUCCCUUCUAAUUUCUAAUGUUAUACACACCUCCCUUCGGUGUGCAAAAGUACUCCGAUGCCCCCACCCCAUUAUGUUUACAAAAGGAAAUAAAAAGUAAAAAUGAAAAUCAUCACCUUUACUUAUUUUUUUGCCAGCAACGAUACAUUGUAUAACCUACUCUAUCCUAAUCUAGGAGAUGAGGAGCCUAAGGAGGCUUGUGUGUUAGGGGUUAGUGGAUAUAUAGAUCUAAUUAGACCAAAUGAGUGCUAUAGCACUACUCUUAGAUUUUUUUUUUUUUUUUGUGUGCUGUAGGUGAGGUUUGAACCCACACUACUCUGAUGGCCUAUGAGCUAAUGACAAUCAUCACCCUUACGUCCCUCUUUCCUUUAUCCUCAUGACCAAAUUGUCAAAAAUUUCCCCCUAUUUCUCUCGCCCCUUUUCUCUUCCCUAUCCUUUACCUAACACCCUCCUAGAAGUCAUAGUGUUCGCUUACCAUCGCACCUUAGAGCGCGCAGUCAGUGUUUACUACCUUUCCUCCUUCAAUCCCCUCUCUUUAUGGUCCUCCACCUUCAUCCCUUCCCUCCAUCGAUCUUCAUUAAUAUACUCGGGUCAUUUGGUUUUUUCUUUUUUCUUUUUCUUCUUUUCUUUUGUGAUUAUAUGGCCUAUUAGAAUUCUUUUUAAUGUAUCUUUUAUAGUAAGUGAGAGGUUUUAAACCAAAAAUCUCCUACUUGUCACCCUUCCGUUUUAUUAUCCAGUCCAACCCUUCCCCAGUGAGAUGAUAGAACUAGAUAUAUUUGUCUCAUAUGCAUACACUUUAGUCGCGUAAUCAUUGUUGUUCUAUUAAUUUUUUUUUUUGUGUUAAAUGGCUCUAUUAUUUUUAUUAUCAAGUCGUGUUCAAGAAUUUGUUGAACCAAAACCUACUAAUUAUAGCAAGUUUCAAGAUAUAUACAAAUGUUACAGCAAGUUUCAAGAUAUAUACAAAUGUGACUUAAGUACCUUGUUUUUCUAAGGCUUCCAGCCUUGGCUGAG
rnacentral:lncRNA from 1 species